UACAGAGGGUGCGAGCGUUGUCCGGAAUCACUGGGCGUAAAGGGCGCGUAGGCGGCUCGGUCAGCGUGCGGUGAAAGCCCGGGGCUCAACCCCGGGUCGGCCGUGCGAACUGCUGGGCUGGAGCACUGUAGAGGCAGGUGGAAUUCCGGGUGUAGCGGUGGAAUGCGUAGAGAUCCGGAAGAACGCCGGUGGCGAAGGCGGCCUGCUGGGCAGUGGCUGACGCUGAGGCGCGACAGCGUGGGGAGCAAACAGG
rnacentral:rRNA from 1 species